UUCACUUAGGUAUAUCAAAACAAUUUUAUAAUCACAUAAUACCGAAUAAAAUUCUAAAAAACUCUAACAUUCUAAAUGCCUAUAGCUGAAAAAUUGGUAGAAUAAUUUGCUAAAAAUGUACUGCUUAAAAAAAGCUGUAGAUAAGAGACUAGGUACCGUUCCGACCUCUACAGUUGUUUUUCAUUUAAUAAACAAAAUAGAAUACAAUAGAAACGGUUUAUAUGUAAGUAUAACAGUUAUAAGUUUUCCCUAAGUUUUUUCUUAGUUUUUCGUCAUAAUUAGCAAUGCUACAAAAGAAAUCAAAAAAUAACCUCAUUACACCAAAGAGACGAAAAUUUUUUAUUAGAAACCAAUAAGAUUUCUGGUUGGAAAGGUGUUCACAUACAGAAAAAAAAAGAUGUCCUAUGAUAAUGGAGACGGGUGCAGCCACUGUUAUAGAUAAUUUAAUAUAUAUCAGUAACUAAUGAUAAACUAUAGCUAACGAAAAAACAAUUCUAAGUGCAGUUCAGUUGAUAGUGAUGCAUUGCCAAUAAUACAUAUAUAUCAUAUUAUGAUAAAAUAAUUAAACAGGCAUUUUAUGUUUGUUUAAUAUUGUACCGAUUUGCCCGGUUUUCCACAUUUGCUGGGAAAAUUGAAAAAUUACCUCCCUAAAGUACUUUUCCAGUCAGAUUUCCUUUCAGAAAAAGUGCUAUCAUCUUAAAUAGGAGCAAAAUUGCUAGUAGAAAAGUUGUGUCCAGAAAAAUGCUAUAUUUUUUUACUAAUACCUAAAUUUCGUAAAUUUUCCGUUUUCGACAUUUAAUCCUGAUUUUCUCCAGAUAUUAUGAAAACCACUUAAAAAAUUACAAAAAUGACUUUCCUAAAUUAUCAUGGAGAUAAAAUUUCCUUUCAGAAAAUAAGCUACACUUUAUACAUCGGAGCAAGAUUUCUGGUAAAAAAGUUUGCACAACGAAUCGAGGGGUAUUUUGUGAAUAAAAUAAUCUAAGGAAGCAAUAACUUGGAUCUCUAGGUACAUUCAAAUGCAUUAUUUUCCCUUUGUUUAAGUAAAAAGGAAAAAAAAUGCAAACAACUUGUUUUGAAACUCAGGUUUGAAUACGUGACCUCCUAGGAUGUCAAUAGGAAUUAAUAGACUACAUAUUAUUUAAUUAUUGAAGUUUGACAAUAUAUAGUUAUUUAACAUGACAUAGAAUAUCCGUAUAAU